CCUACGGGUGGCUGCAGUGGGGAAUAUUGCGCAAUGGGCGAAAGCCUGACGCAGCGACGCCGCGUGAGGGAUGAAGGUCUUCGGAUCGUAAACCUCUGUCAGCAGGGAAGAACGGUCACUUUGCUAAUCAGCAGUGAAUUGACGGUACCUGCAAAGGCAGCACCGGCUAACUCCGUGCCAGCAGCCGCGGUAAUACGGAGGGUGCGAGCGUUAAUCGGAAUUACUGGGCGUAAAGCGCUCGUAGGCGGUAUGUCAAGUCAAGGGUGAAAUCCCCGCGCUCAACGUGGGAACUGCAGUUGAAACUGGCGUACUGGAGUGUGUGAGAGGAUAGCGGAAUUCCAGGUGUAGGAGUGAAAUCCGUAGAUAUGUGGAGGAACCUCAGUGGCGAAGGCGACUAGCUGGAACAUAACUGACGCUGAGGAGCGAAAGCGUGGGUAGCAAACAGGAUUAGAUACCCGUGUAGUC
rnacentral:rRNA from 1 species